GCUGCAGUAGCUCAGCCGGUAGAGCAGCUGUUUCGUAAACAGCAGGCCGGGGGUUCGAGUCCCUCCUGCAGCA
rnacentral:tRNA from 1 species